rnacentral:sRNA from 1 species
AGCAGCCGCGGUAAUUCCAGCUCCAAUAGCGUAUAUUAAAGUUGCUGCAGUUAAAAAGCUCGUAGUUGAAUUUCGGGACUAAUAUGUCGGUCGUGCCUCGGUACGUACUGGUUUAUUGGUUUCUCCUUUCUGAAGAACCAUGAUGUCAUUUAUUUGGUGUCGUGGGGAAUCAGGACUGUUACUUUGAAAAAAUUAGAGUGUUUAAAGCAGGCUCACGCUUGAAUACAUUAGCAUGGAAUAAUGAAAUAGGACGUUUGAUUCUAUUUUGUUGGUUUCUAGGAUCGACGUAAUGAUUAAUAGGGAUAGUUGGGGGCAUUAGUAUUCAAUUGUCAGAGGUGAAAUUCUUGGAUUUAUUGAAGACUAACUACUGCGAAAGCAUUUGCCAAGGAUGUUUUCAUUAAUCAAGAACGAAAGUUAGGGGAUCGAAGACGAUCAGAUACCGUCGUAGUCUUAACCAUAAACUAUGCCGACUAGGGAUCGGAUGAUGUUAAUUUUUAAUGUACUCAUUCGGCGCCUUACG